AAGAGAAGACACUGCCUGCCAGCUGUACAGCCUCUGCGGCCUGUAUGCUCCAUACCAGCGGAGCUCCAUCCAGUCUGACAGUCUCCGAUCUGCAGGGCGGCCAUCAGAGACGAUCAGAAUCCGCUGACACAGUGAAGAGCCGUCUGGGCGUCAAGUUCUGCAGAGAGAACAUUUAGCUGGACAUGGCGAUACAUGAAUGCGAAGGACUACAUCGGAAUCGGUGGACUACGACGAUGACCUGCAGUUUCUUCUUUUCUUUUAAUAAAAUGGUUAACGAAGGCUGUGGGAGG